rnacentral:rRNA from 1 species
GAUGAACGCUGGCGGCGUGCCUAAUACAUGCAAGUCGAGCGAACAGAUGAGGAGCUUGCUCCUCUGACGUUAGCGGCGGACGGGUGAGUAACACGUGGAUAACCUACCUAUAAUACUGGGAUAACUUCGGGAAACCGGAGCUACUACCGGAUAAUAUAUUGAACCGCAUGGUUCAAUAGUGAAAGACGGUUUUGCUGUCACUUAUAGAUGGUUCCGCGCCGCAUUAGCUAGUUGGUAAGGUAACGGCUUACCAAGGCGACGAUGCGUAGCUGAGCUGAGAGGGUGAUCGGCCACACUGGAACUGAGACACGGUCCAGACUCCUACGGGAGGCAGCAGUAGGGAAUCUUCCGCAAUGGGCGAAAGCCUGACGGAGCAACGCCGCGUGAGUGAUGAAGGUCUUCGGAUCGUAAAACUCUGUUAUUAGGGAAGAACAAAUGUGUAAGUAACUAUGCACGUCUUGACGGUACCUAAUCAGAAAGCCACGGCUAACUACGUG